UCUAAGAAGGAAAAGUCUGGUUACCAU
rnacentral:piRNA from 1 species